UCCAUUACACACCAGCCCCCCGCAGCCCCAAACCCCCGUCUCCCCCCUCGCUGGGGGCGGGCCGUUCCCGCUCCCCUUCCCGCUCCCCCUCUGCCUGCCUCUCUCCCUGAGGGAGCGGCGCUCGGGCGCUGCCGGCCCGGCCAUGUACGCGGGCCGCAGGCGGAGGAAGCCGGUGCCGCGGGCGACGCGGCUGGGCGCGGCCGAAGGCGGCGGCUCCAACCCGUCCAAGCGGCACCGGGAGCGGCUGAACCGGGAGCUGGAGCGGCUGGCGGGGCUGCUGCCCUUCCCGCCCGACGUGGUGGCCGGGCUGGACAAGCUCUCGGUGCUCCGCCUCAGCGCCGGCUUCCUGCGCGCCAGGAGCUUCUUGGGCGUUGCUCUGGAGAAUCCUGGUGCCAAAGAAGCCCAGAGGGACGGAGCCUGUGGCACUGGACCAGCUCUGGGCUCAGCAGCAGUUCCAGAGGGUGAGCUGCUCCUACAGGCACUCAAUGGCUUUGUGCUGGUGGUGACAUCAGAAGGGCUGAUAUUUUACUCCUCACAUACAAUCCAGGACUAUCUGGGAUUUCACCAGACAGAUGUCAUGCACCAGAGCGUCUUUGAGCUGAUCCACACUGAGGACCAGUCGGAGUUCAGGCGCAACCUCCACUGGGCCCUGGACCCACCGCACGCUCCUGAGGGUGAGCCUUCUGCAGCAGCAGGGAAGAGUCUUAGCUCUUCUGCUGUCAUCUACAAGCCGGAUCAGCUGCCCCCAGAAAACUCCUCCUUCCUGGAGAGGAGCUUUGUGUGCCGCUUUCGCUGCCUCCUGGAUAAUUCCUCCGGCUUCCUGGCUUUGAACCUUCAAGGCAGGCUGAAAUUCCUUCAUGGGCAGAACGGAAGGUCUGAAGAUGGCUCUGUCCUGCCCCCCCAGCUCGCUCUGUUCGCCAUCUCCACGCCCCUGCAGCCUCCGUCCAUCCUGCAGAUCCGAACCAAGAACAUGAUCUUCAGGACCAAGCACAAGCUGGACUUCACCCCCUUGGCGUGUGAUGCCAAGGGGAAGAUUGUCCUGGGCUACACCGAGGCGGAGCUGCGGAUGUGUGGCACCGGAUACCAGUUUGUCCACGCUGCUGACAUGCUGUACUGUGCUGAGAACCACGUCAGGAUGAUGAAGACGGGGGAGAGCGGCCUGACGGUGUUCCGGCUGCUGACCAAGGACAACCGCUGGAAGUGGGUGCAGGCCAACGCCCGGCUCGUCUACAAGAAUGGCAAACCCGAGUACAUCGUGGUCACACAGAGACCCCUCGUAGAUGAAGAAGGAGGAGAGCACCUUCGGAAGCGGUCCAUGCAUCUUCCCUUCACCUUUGCUACAGGAGAGGCACUUCUAUACCAAAGUACUCAUCCUCUCCCAGGCUUCCCUGACCUUUUCCAGAGCAAAGGGAAACUCAGCAAGUCCAAGAAGCCCUCCUGCAGCCAUGCAGGGCGCUCCCAGAAGAAUGGCAUUGACCCCAGGUCUCUGCUGGGUGCUGUGAUGCAGCAGGACAAGGCGGUGUACACCUCCCACUCAGCUCCCAUUCCGAACCCUUCCUCUUGCAGCACUUUCCAGCUCAAGGGUUUGUCCUUACCAGGUGUAGGAGGGGAUGCCUGGAGUAUGGGCACAGCUCCAGCUUCUUCAAGGGGCAACAGCCUCCAAGAGAAGCUGCUGGAUUUGCAGCAGGAGGACAGUCUCUUGGCCACCAUGGACUUGCUCUCAAUUAAGAGUGACCAGAGGUGUUCCAACGAGUUCUUCAGUGCUUUGGAGGGCCUGGGCUUGAAUGCUGAGGACCUGGAGCUCCUGCUGCUGGAUGAGAAAAUGGUGAUGGUCAGUACGGACCCAGACCAGUCCCCAUCCCUGAAUAACAGCCUGGCCAGCAACCAGAUUCUCUCCUGUGUCCCCAGCCCUCCAGUGGAUGGGCAUGAGGGAGGGCAGCAGGUCUGUCCCCUGACAGACACGCCCCCCACCCCACAGGGAGGCACUGCUCCGUGCCACAUGGAGAGCAAGGACUCGGGGUGCCACCUGGCACAGCACGCAGGGCAGCCCAGCACUGUCCUGGCCCAGCCCCCCAUGCUGCUGUGGGAGCAGCCCCUCAGUGCCGUGCCAGGGCUGCUCCCAGAGCUGGCUGAGGAGGAAAAUCUGUCCAGUGGCUCCCAGUGGAGACCAGCUGGGGAGGAGACUGUACUCCACUCCUUCCAGCCAGUGCAGGGCACCCCAUGGCACAGGACCCCUAGCUCAGCCCCCGGAGCUCCUUGCCCACAGGAGCCACCCGGGGCCCAGCAGCUGCAGGGAGACUUCUCAGUCGUGCAGCCCCUCCAGGAGGAUAUCCACCAACCCUUCUCCCUGUCCAGCCAGUGCCAGGACCAUGUGGCACCACCCAGCCAGGCCAAGCACCAUCACUUGCUGGUGAACGGGGUCUGUGGCCACUGCCCCAGCUCUUGUGCACAGCCCAGCCCAUGGCAGGCCUAUGUUUGCCCCCUGCUGCAGGCUCCGGCUCCGCCUGGCGUUCAUGGCCUCAGCAAAGACGUCAUCUCCCAGCCCCAGGGCUGCUUGGGCCCCGGGCCUGGCGUGCCCCCACAGCAUUUUAACCUGAACGGAUUACGCAGCGUGGAUGCUGCUGGCACUGGGGAUUCCUGGGAAGAGAUGGCUCCGUGCCCCAGGGUUUUUCCCCCUUUCUACCAGCUCGUUCCUGAAAUGCAGCUGAGCUCUGUUCUUUCCGUGCCCCAGUUCUCUUCCUCCAGCUCAGCUGCAGGGCACUUUGGGAGCAUCAGCAGCCCUCUGGAGACACUGAAUUCCUAUGGGACACACGGCUCUGCGUGGAGCCAGGAGGGCAGGCACAGGCCCUGCAGCGGCUGUGGUGUGCCCAGCUCUCCCAUGCGACUGCCCCAAGACCAUCCAGUGCCGGGGGGAAGCCCGGCACUGCCCUCCCAGCCUCAGCCCCGGGCAGAAGUGCUGCCGGAUCCUCUUCACGCCUCCAGGGGGGACUCCUAUCUCUAGGAGAGACAAGAAUGGACAAAGCAGGACUAUCCCCUGGGGAAGGAGCUACCUUCAAGCUGCAGAUAAAAAACCUUUCCCAGUGCUGUGCACAUCCUGCCAGUGCUAUUGAUGUUGGUUGCUUUGGCUCACCUGGGUUUUUUUUCUCAACUUCCCACCAUCCUGCUCCCUGUGCUGGUGUCCCUGGCGUGGGGAGGGACAGCAGCAGGCAGCAGGGCUGGAGGACAGAUUUCCCAGGGUGCUGGAGCAGGCUGAGCUGUGGUUGCAGGUCACCCCAUGAGUGCGACCAAAGCUUCACCAAAGCUUUGUAUUGACGUGCAUGAUCCAGCAUGGGUUCCAGCCUCGUGAAAGCCUGCCCUAAAGAAAGACACAGAAACGUUUUUGCCUCUGGUGUUAAAUUUCCCAGCCAGGUACCUGUGGCUGUGGCCAUGUUGUACAGAUUACUGUGUGUUUUAUAAAGAAAAUGAGCCCCAUGUGGUGUUCUUGUGCUGCUCUGGUCUUUCCUCACCCCAGUUUUCCUUGUGCCAGAUGUUUCCCAGUGUUUGGGAACCAGGUUAGGGCUCCUGUAGCAAACACCCUGAGCUUUGCUGUGCUGUACAAGACAUGCCGAGAUUGGCUGCUAAACUGGUUUUCUCUGGGUGCUGGCCUCUCAGGUACUGUCAGACUUCAAGUCUCAAAGUUUUCAGUUAAAAACCAGAAAUUUCAAUGGGAUAAAGAAAAUAAGCAUAAUGCUACUUAAUGGUAGGUACUGAGAGAGUGAUGUUUUCCCACAGGAAAAAAAAAAACCCUCCACAGCCCAUAUGUGUGUAUAUAGUAUGAGUUGACAGAUUUAUUUUUAUGCCACUCCAGUGGAAGGAAAAAACAACCUCUUACCAUCCCAAAGCAGCAUCCUGUGGAAUGGGAUGAAAAGGUUGUUUAAAGAUCAGAAACACGGUUACACUUCAAGAAACCUGAUGAAGCUCAUCCCUCCUUCAGCUUGCCAGGCUUUGGAUUCAUGUGAAUUCCCGUCGGUUUUGUUUCAAUAAAUGGUUUUGGAGCUCCUCUCUGAUGUUUCCCUUGCUGGUUGUGUCUCUUCCCAACGCGGAGCCCGUCAGCGUUUGCGGCACUGGAGCUCAGGCCUUGCCACUGGUGACCUGAGACGCAGUGGGUUGGAUUGGAAGGGAUUCUGAGGAGCACUUGGAGCCUUUGGGAUGCACACAGUCCACCUGUUAGCUCCUGCCAUGGAUGUUUGAAAGGGAUUGAGAAAUCUGACAGAGAAAGGUAAGUGUAUUAAAAACAAAGUACAAUAUUUAUAUAUUAUAUACAUAUAUAAUAUAUAUGUAUGUAAAGUUGCAUGUAGAUAUAUUGAAAUAUAAAGUCUGUGUGUUUAUAAAGUGUAUGUAGUUUCUAGUAUGUAAUAGAAAACAUCUUUUAAGACAAAUGAACUGAUUCUUUGCCCCUGCACUAUUGUUUUUCAACUUGGAAACUAGAAAAAACACAGGUUUCUUUGCUCUGAAUGCUGAAUUUUCCAACAUUCCCACCCCUACCUGGCACCUGUUUUUCCUUAGCAAAACAAGGCAGUUUUGUAACGUUUCUGAAUUUUUGAUGGAGCAUUUGAUCUUUUAUGGUUUCUGUGCUCUACUCUGCUUUUUUCCUCCCUGUUUCUUCAGAGGAGUUGGCUCUGGGUGGCACCACCUGUGCUGAGAGGGAAGGAGGAAUGGGACCAGAGCAUCCCUGGGGCUGCAGCUUGGUGGCUUCCAGCUGAGUCCCAGAUGCUGAGCACAACCUGACCACUGUCAAACUUCCUCCUUGAGCCAGCUCCUAGAUGUGUAGGCAGCCAUUCCAUGACCAGCUGCCCUGAUGGGUUUCUCCUCUUCCUUGCCGUGCAUCUCCACAGCACCACGAGCUUCCCUGCAGCCCAGGUGACCUCAGGAAGACUGCAGCCCUGCUGGCUGUGUCACUGUGUCACUUUUAGUGAGCCCAGCGUGGGUUUGUUCAGCACUGUGUCUGUGAGGCCUGUGGAGCACGAGCCAUCAUUUCUGUGGAGGGAGCUGCUCUGCUCCCAAAGUAGGCCGGCACAUCCAUAAUUUAUGCCCUUCCUCAUGGCAGCUGCUGCCUGUCUUCCCCUGGGCCUCAUGGCAUUGAUUGUUGACACACCAGGCUGGCCCAGAGAGCCUUGCUGAAGAAAAUCUUCCUUUUGCAGCGAGGGAGGUGCCUCUGUUCAUCACCCCAGCAUCUGCAACCUGCCCUGAGCUGUGGUGGUAAGAAAGGGGAGUUGGGCAGCUGUGCAUUUAUGCUCUGGUUUGCACAUCUGGAGGGAGCGUGGUCCCAUGGGGCAGAUUAAUCCCUGAGAACUGGAUGAGGCCAAGGAAGUGUGAGGAAAGAGUUUGGAGGCAUACAGAAUCAUAGAAUAUCCUGAGCUGGAAGGAUCACUGAGGUCCUGGCCCUGCACAGGACAGCUCCGAGGAUCCCGUACCGUGCUUGGGUUUGGCAAUGCUUGUGUAGCUGUAGGCUCAGCUCCAUGUGGGAAAGGGCAGGAAGAGCUGUGGUGCUCCUUGCGGCAGGGUAAGAUGCACAUAUGGAGGGGCAGGAGGAGGAGAGCAGAGGGCAUUUAUCGUUUGCCUCUUUUCCCUUCCCUUCCUGCCCGCUGCGUUCCCAAAUGCCAGCCAGGACAAGGGCCUGUGAGACACAGCCUGCAGCAGAAGGGGGCUCCUGUCCUGAGCCAGCUGGGAGAGGUGACAUCUGAUACUGGCUGCAUCCAUGAGGCUGAAAGCAUCAGUCCCCAGCUGGCAUCACGGAGGCCAGGAUAUCUCCCUGGGCCCCAGGACAGCAGAGAGCAAGCAGGACUGAAGUUCCUGCAGCGAAGGAGGCUUUGAAGAAACAUGGAAGGGAGGCCAGGCAAGGCUGUGGCAAGCUGGGAGAGGAACAGGCCAAGCAUUAUCCAUGCUGGCUGCGCUCCUGUGGAGGCUAAGGCCAAAAUACAGGAAUUUUCUGUCCAAAAUAGUCCGGAUCCCCCUGUUUGUGCUGGCAGUAUUCCUUGCCAAGGUGGGUAUUGAAGGCAUCUUAAAGUCCGUCCACGUGGUACCUGAAACCACUGAUAUAAGCUUGGUCUCACUUCCCAGUUAGGUGUGAUCCUGUGUAUGUUCCUUGGAUCAUUUGGAUUUUCCUCAUUCAUUAUUACCCCUUUACCAUUUGAGAGUCAAUUUUGUACCACUCGGUUCAGAUGCUCUCGUCCUCUUCUCAGGUUCCUUCACAGUCCUCUUUGGUUUUGUUGGUGAGGAUCCGCUGCUGUUCCUUGGUCUGGAUCACAGUUACAUUCCUAAGUAUUGCCUGGGAAAGAUCUUAAAAGACUGUCUUAAGAUGUGUUUUGAAGGAUUAUUUUUUCUAUCAAAAGUUCUGAUCAUUUACCACACUGUUUCUUUUGCCUCAUAGGUAACAUGUUCAAAAUAUAUCUUAAACUUUACUUCAUAAGGUGACAGCUCCCAGGCUUGAAUCACAUGUUGUAUUCUCUUAAACCCAAACUUCAUGACAAUUUUUGUACUCAUGGGUAACAUUCACAACCAGUUACUUAUGCAAUUUAUAU